UUAAUUGAAGAGUUUGAUCAUGGCUCAGAUUGAACGCUGGCGGCAGGCCUAACACAUGCAAGUCGAGCGGCAGCACAGAGGAACUUGUUCUUUGGGUGGCGAGCGGCGGACGGGUGAGUAAUGCCUGGGAAAUUGCCCGGUAGAGGGGGAUAACCAUUGGAAACGAUGGCUAAUACCGCAUAACCUCGCAAGAGCAAAGCAGGGGACCUUCGGGCCUUGCGCUACCGGAUAUGCCCAGGUGGGAUUAGCUAGUUGGUGAGGUAAGGGCUCACCAAGGCGACGAUCCCUAGCUGGUCUGAGAGGAUGAUCAGCCACACUGGAACUGAGACACGGUCCAGACUCCUACGGGAGGCAGCAGUGGGGAAUAUUGCACAAUGGGCGCAAGCCUGAUGCAGCCAUGCCGCGUGUAUGAAGAAGGCC
rnacentral:rRNA from 1 species